rnacentral:rRNA from 1 species
AUUGAACGCUGGCGGCAUACCUUACACAUGCAAGUCGAACGGCAGCACGGGAGCAAUCCUGAUGGCGAGUGGCGAACGGGUGAGUAAAGUAUCGGAACGUGCCCAGUCGUGGGGGAUAACGUAGCGAAAGUUACGCUAAUCCCGCAUACGAUCUCUGGAUGAAAGCGGGGGAUCGCAAGACCUCGCGCGAUUGGAGCGGCCGAUAUAAGAUUAGGUAGCUGGUGGGGUAAAGGCUAACCAAGCCGACGAUCUGUAGCUGGUCUGAGAGGACGACCAGCCACACUGGGACUGAGACACGGCCCAGACUCCUACGGGAGGCAGCAGUGGGGAACUUUGGACAAUGGGCGAAAGCCUGAUCCAGCCAUGCCGCGUGCAGGAUGAAGGCCUUCGGGUUGUAAACUGCUUUUGUACGGAACGAAAAGGUUUGGCCUAAUAAGCUGAGCUCAUGACGGUACCGUAAGAAUAAGCACCGGCUAACUCCGUGCCAGCCGCCGCAGUAA